ensembl:lncRNA
CUCGCGGGGCGGUGACCGUCGCCGGCUUUCGAGCACGGCCUCCCGUUGCCCCGAGGGAAGGUCGGUUGGAUGUCCCGAAGAAUUUCUUCUCCGACAGAGCGGCGAUGCGUCGGCUGCCCCAGGAGGCGGGGCGGUCCCCAUCCCUGGAGGCGCGAGACGCGGCACGGGGGGACGUGGGCAGCAUUGGCGGCAGGCGGGCCGUUGGGCUGGAUGACCUUUGAGGUCGCUUCCAACCUCAUGGCUCUCUUUAGACACCCCGGGGGCCAACUCCAUCCUGCACGCUGCUGUCGGCUCUGAGGUCUGAUCGGAGGCCUUCUCCUUUCCCUCGAGGCGCUGCUCGGCCGCUGUGUUGCUGCAGGGGUGCUGCGUGAGCGCAGAGCACAGCCGGCUUUGUCCACCCUGACAGGCUCACCUUUCUUCCUGCCUAGAAACACCGCUGCGGGACUCGCCCCCCCCCCAGGGAAAGCAGAAGCUCCAGCGCGGGGCUGGGGACUAGAAGAGCCCCGUUAUGUGCUACGGAACAAAGGGAACAUCGAGCGAGAAGCCACCUCGCUUCGCAGAGCACCCCGGCUCCCGCUCCAGCUGCUCCGUGCCGGGGGAGCAGCAGCACUGAGCCCCCCCGGGUCCCGCAGAGCUGCAAAGGAGCACGAGGGGCAGGUGCAGAGAGUGCACGCGUAAGGAGGAGCCGGCAGCACCGCCGGACCGCAGGUUGUCAGACAGACCCCGCCAUCCCAUAACGUUAGGGUUGUAGAGAUGCAUCAGCAUCACUCCGGACGGCUUCUCUGCCACCGUAGGCCAACGCUUUGCUCAAGCACAUGAAUCUAACAGACAGAACCCCCCCUUCAACCCGCCGUGCUUUGAAACGCACCCAGCAACACCUGUCCCCAGCAGAGCCAGCCCUGCCCCACGUCGGAGCUGGGUUCCGUCGGGCUGGGUGUGGAGGUGCCGGCCAGCAUCUCUGCACGACAGCGAGCCUGAGAAGCUAAUUAGCGCCCGUUUGCUGCUUUCAGAGAGGAGAUUCUGAGCGCUGUUGGUAAACUCAUUUCAAGGAGUCGCACUCAAUUUGCAGCGACGGAUGCUCAUCGUGGCUUUGUUCCCACAUCUACAAAGAGCAGCGCUGCAGAGGGGCUUUGAUGAUCCCUCUCGUUUGGACAGCUGGCAGGGAGCAGGAUGCACCCAGGAAUAGAAGGGCACACGGGAGCCACGGCGUCCCCUGCACGAGAGCAAACGGAGAGGCUGGACGUCUGUAAAGUGGGGGAUGUGGGGUUCUAUCCUAGUGAUGCAACUGGAAAGUGAAAGCUCUCGCACUGCGUGGGAGAGCAGAAAUCCGCUCUGCGUCUUGAAAUAGUUGCACGUGAAGUCCUGCCCUCAACUCGCGACCUGCAACCUGCACGGCAUGGCUCUCAGGAGCCCAUUGUAGGGGCGGUUGUUGCACUGCUGGGCUCCUCCAGCUCUUGGGGGUCAGCGUGGCAUCGCACGCCCAGGGACGUCGGCGUCAGUGGGAGCCAAGCCCAGCAUCGUCAGCACAGCUGUCAGGGCCCCGGGUGGGCCCUAAUGAGGCCCCCAGGUGCCACAGGGCUGGGCUGCCCUAGCACAGCUGCGCCUUAUCGGCGGCUCAGGGCAGGGCCCGCCCUCAACGCCUCUUAAACCCCCACCAGAGCUUGCUGGGAUCCACUGGGGGCUGCUGGGAGCUCAGGGGCUCAUUCAGGGCUUGCCGCAGCAUGCUGCCAGGCUCCCACACUGCUCUCUCUUUUUGGGGAGGGCGCUGGGCUUCUGCUGGGCUUUUUUGGGGUCUGGUUUCUGCUGGGCUCCUCUGCUCUUUUGGAGUCAGUGUGGGGUGGCCCUGCUGGGCUCUGGCCUUGUUUUCUUCUUUUUGGUGGUGGUAUGGGAUUGCUGUUGGUGCCCCUGCCCUCUUUGGGUCCAGCACAGGGCUGCUCUUGGCUCCCCUCUGCUCCUUAGAGCCUAUGCAGCACUUUUGCAAAGCAGCUCUCCUAGCCCCUUUGUGGGGUUAGUUAAGGGCAGUUUGCAGGUCCUGCAGCAACGGAGGAGAGCAGAACGGAGCUGCGCCCCUUACCCUGGAGCUGCUGGGGGUCAGAAGCAUCGCAAGGGGCUGCUUUCAAAACAGCAAAUGCUGGGGAUAUCCAUUUAAUCACGUUUGUUCUCUCUCCUUUUUGUUUCUCUCUUGCAGGGUGAGAGCUCCAGCGAGGAUCAGCCCGCAGUACUGAGCGGCUGUGGCAGCGAUGGGAGCGUGGAGCUGAGUCCCAGGGGUCUGGGCGAGCACGUUCCCUCGUGCCCAGACCCCGGGGGCUCUUUGCUUGCAGCAGGAGGAUCCUUCUGCCCUUCUAUUGGGGUCAAUGCAGUGCUGCUGCUGGGCUCCCUACCUUCUUUUUCUGGGUUCUGCUGGACUCCCCGAGGCAGAGCGCAGCCCUGGGGGUGCCCACUGCCCCCCUUGGUUGCAGCAGCGGGGGCGUGCAGGAUGGAAUCAUGGUUGUCCCCUCCCUAGCCCUAUUGCUGCUGGGAGUAAGAAGCAACGCCAGGGACAGCUAAGUUGAAAGCAGUGCUUUAAAUCACUUGCUGUGCUUUUAUCUUUUUGAUUUCCCCAAAAAGCUGUUGCAAGGUAAGGUGCUUUGCAGCAGGGAUCAGCCCAGAGAUGCAAGGUUCCCGCUGCACUGGGACUGCAGAGACGAGCACUGGGAUGUGGCGGUGUGAAUCUUUAGUUUUACUCAUGAAUUUUGUUCACAGAACCACAGGAUUGUAGGUGCUGGAAGGGACCUCUGGAGGUAACGAAGUUAACCCCUCUGCAAACUUCAUCAUAGAGGUGCUCCAGGCCCUGCAUCGUCUUUAUGGCCCUCUGCUGGACUCCUUCCAGGAGAUCCCUCUCUUUGUUUGUACUGAGGAGCCUGGAAUGGGAUGCAGUACUGCAGGUGUGCAGCUCUGCAGCCCUUCCUGUGGGACGGCAGCACAGCCUUCCGGUGCAUCAGCUGCUCUUCCAAGGGCCUUGGUUUGUGGGUUCCACUACAGCAGCAGCCCCUCAGAGGAGGUUUGAGGAGCUGUUCUCGCCACAGGGGCAGGGCUGGAGCAAGGUCCUGGUGCUGCCUGUCUAAGGGAGGAAGGCUGCCAGCUGUGCCCUUGUCCCCUGUUGGGGUUGUGGGGUGAUGGAGCUGCUUGGCGUCCAGGAGGAGCUGAGGGGAUCUGGCAGCUGUCUGAUGUUUUGUGUGGCUUCUGUGAGCAGUGCCAAUUGUCCAGCUUUCCCAGGGUGUGGAGGAGCAGCAUGAUGGGGGCUCCCCGUGCGAGACCAAGGAUUUAAGCUGCUGCUGCUGCUCAGAGUGGUGUGGUUCCCCUUCUGUCUGUGGUAAGCUUGAGGUGGAAACAGAAGUGGUAGAUUUCAAAUGUCUGCAGGAGAAGAGAACAUGCUUGAGCUGGAGCUUGAAAUAAUGCUCUUGAGUGGGGAGGCUUGCUGCUUUGCUCUAUCAAAGGAAACAAAAACUAAAUUGGUAAAUCAGUUUAACAAAAAGUACAAAACAGAAAUGCUUCUGAGCCUCUUAUCGUAAGAGACAUAUAAAGAAAUAAAAUGUAGUUUUCUGUAUGUGCCUUAGUCACAGCAAAUAGGAUAAAUGAAAACUGAGAUUCUUUAGCAGAACUAGGAUACAGGAGCGAGUGCUUCUAAACAGAAGUCACUCCAAACAAUUUCUUGUUAUUGCAGGCUUUACCUUUUGCUGUGUCUUAUUCCUUUACUUUGAGCCUAUCUCUGAGUAACUUUAUCAAAAGAGAUUGUGGAUAUUCUCUAAACAAAGAAGCGGGGCUUUAACUUCUCAUAUCAUUGUGAGUGUAUCUGCCUUAUCAGCUUGCAGAAACUGUUUGUUAACUGCCUUUCCCCUGCAGUGCCAAUAAACUUUCCACUCCUCCUGAAUAGAAGUCUCCUCUAUUCCAUUAACAAUCACAUGCAGAAAGAACUUAACUUCUCAAGAAAGCAAACAAUGUUCAUCAAUAUCGAAGUCAAUAUUCAUCAACAGCUAAUGUAACUAACAAUAUCUAACUAAAAUAGCUACUCUAACUAAAUAUCAAGUAAACUGUUGAGUAAACAAUUACGUGCUUUUCUUGAGAGCAAGGCAACUCAUGAGGUUUGAUGUAAAGAGGGAAAAAAAAAUCUGGCACUCACCCUCUAAUGCUUGGAGAUCUGCUCUUCAUCCUCUGCUCCCUUGAAGCUGCUUCAUUUCAGGUACCCUUAUGCAUCUAGAAGAAAGCAAGUAGCUGCAUUGAAGAAUGUUUUCCAAUAUGUACAAGUUUGAUAUUGAUGGUUAAAUGUUAUUAAU